CUGCGGCUCCCGAGAGCUUCUGCGGAGCCUCACGUGGCUUCCUUGGAAGUACACUGAGUUGUUCCUCUGUUGCAGGGCGUAGGAAUCUGGGCAGGGCACAUACGUUCACAGCAGAACGCUUUGCCUUUUACUGGAAAAGCCACAGUUGUGCAAUCAUCCCGCUUAUUGCAUGUGCUUUUUACCUCCUGUGCUGAGUGCUGUAAUUCCUCCUUGCCUCUCAUUCCCGGAAGUAGAGCCUAUUUACAAGACUUCUGAACUGUGAGAAACCAAGACUUUUUGGGGUCAAAUUAUUUCUGUUCCAGUAGCUGCUGACUGCUACCCUGGUAAGCUCGUGCAGCAUCCUCAUCAUCCAA